rnacentral:rRNA from 1 species
GAAACGACUGCUAAGACUGGAUAGGAGACAAGAAGGCAUCUUCUUGUUUUUAAAAGACCUAGCAAUAGGUAUGCUUAGGUAGGAGCUUGCGUCACAUUAGUUAGUUGGUGGGGUAAAGGCCUACCAAGACUAUGAUGUGUAGCCGGGCUGAGAGGUUGAACGGCCACAUUGGGACUGAGACACGGCCCAAACUCCUACGGGAGGCAGCAGUAGGGAAUUUUCGGCAAUGGAGGAAACUCUGACCGAGCAACGCCGCGUGAACGAUGAAGUAUUUCGGUACGUAAAGUUCUUUUAUUAGGGAAGAAUAAAUGAUGGAAAAAUCAUUCUGACGGUACCUAAUGAAUAAGCCCCGGCUAACUAUGUGCCAGCAGCCGCGGUAAUACAUAGGGGGCAAGCGUUAUCCGGAAUUAUUGGGCGUAAAGGGUGCGUAGGCGGUUAAAUAAGUUUGUGGUCUAAGUGCAAUGCUCAACAUUGUGAUGCUAUAAAAACUGUUUAGCUAGAGUAAGAUAGAGGCAAGUGGAAUUCCAUGUGUAGUGGUAAAAUGCGUAAAUAUAUGGAGGAACACCAGUAGCGAAGGCGGCUUGCUGGGUCUCUACUGACGCUGAGGCACGAAAGCGUGGGGAGCAAACAGGAUUAGAUACCCUGGUAGUCCACGCCGUAAACGAUGAGUACUAAACGUUGGGUAAAACCCGUGUUGAAGUUAACACAUUAAGUACUCCGCCUGAGUAGUACGUACGCAAGUAGAAACUUAAAGGAAUUGACGGGACUCCGCACAAGCGGUGGAUCAUGUUGUUUAAUUCGAGGGUACCCGAAAAACCUCACCAGGUCUUGACAUGCUUCUGCAAAGCUGUAGAAACACAGUGGAGGUUAUCAGUUGCACAGGUGGUGCAUGGUUGUCGUCAGCUCGUGUCGUGAGAUGUUGGGUUAAGUCCCGCAACGAGCGCAACCCUUAUUGUUAGUUACCAGCACGUAAUGGUGGGGACUUUAGCAAGACUGCCAGUGGUAAAUUGGAGGAAGGUGGGGACGACGUCAAAUCAUCAUGCCCCUUAUGACCUGGGCUACAAACGUGAUACAAUGGCUGUUACAAAGGGUAGCUGAAGCGCAAGUUUUUGGCGAAUCUCAAAAAAACAGUCUCAGUUCGGAUUGAAGUCUGCAACUCGACUUCAUGAAGUUGGAAUCGCUAGUAAUCGCGAAUCAGCAUGUCGCGGUGAAUACGUUCUCGGGGUUUGUACACACCGCCCGUCA